ensembl:lncRNA
GUUGUGAGGGGUUUUCAUAGUAUGUGCCCAGUCAUGUCUGAUUCUUUGCAACCCCAUGGACUGUGGCCUUCCAGGCUCCUCUGUCCAUGGAUUUUCCUGGCAAGAAUACUGGAGUAGGUUGCCAUUUUCUCCUCCAGGGGAUCUUCCUGACCCGGGGAUUGAACCUGAGUGUCCUGCAUUGACAAGCAGAUUCUUUACCACAAGUGCCACCUGAGAAGCCCCUUUGAUAGGCUCGGAAGGAAGAAAUCACACAUGUGGGGUUAUCUUGGAGUUGUGAGGGUGGAAGAGGUUGUAUAUUUGAUGCACUCAUUUAAAACACUCAGUAAGAAACUCUCAGGCCACUUAACAAGAGUAUUUGGAUGCUGGGAAAAUGCCUGGAUUCCAGCCUCCAUCUCUGGGUUGGCCAGGAGAAGCCCUGGGCCCACACAGCUCUCCCUUACUCACGCCAGGAGGGACUAACACAGAUGAAGGUAUUUCACACAACAAAUACAACUCAACCAUGAGGAAGACGGAGCUGCCCCUCCAUUCAACCACACGAGCCAGCGUCACAAGCAAACUGUUGGCUUGCAGGCGCCUCCCUCCACGGGAUUUUCCUGGCAAGAACACUGGAGUGGUCUGCCAUGCAAUCCUCCCGCGGAUCUUCCAGGAACUGGACCUGUGUCUCCUGCAUGGCAGGUUCCUUGUCAGCUGGGACCUUAGUUCUCCAGGGAUUGAAACUGAAUCCCCUGCUGUGGAAGGCAGAAUCUCAACCGCUGGACUGCUGGGGAGGCCCAUGAAUUGCUUGUCCUGAUGCUCCUUGUGUGAUAACCUUUUUGGACUUCAGGAUGUGUAAGAGGCCUUUGGUGUGACCCACAAGAGGGAAACAGUCAGGAGGUGGAGUGGAAGAUGGUCAUGGAGAAGGUGCAGGAGAGACCUGAGUCACUUGUUCCUGGGCAGUCCUUCCUUUCGAGUAAUUGGAAGCUUCGUGAUGAGCAGGGUGAGAG